UACGAGGGGGGCGAGCGUUGUUCGGAAUUAUUGGGCGUAAAGGGUGCGUAGGCGGUUCCGCAAGUCCUGUGUGAAAUCUUCGGGCUCAACUCGAAGUCUGCACGGGAAACUGCCGGGCUUGAGUAUGGGAGAGGUGAGUGGAAUUCCUGGUGUAGCGGUGAAAUGCGUAGAUAUCAGGAGGAACACCUGUGGCGAAAGCGGCUCACUGGACCAUAACUGACGCUGAUGCACGAAAGCUAGGGGAGCAAACAGG
rnacentral:rRNA from 1 species